CCUACGGGAGGCUGCAGUGGGGAAUAUUGGACAAUGGGGGGAACCCUGAUCCAGCCAUGCCGCGUGUGUGAAGAAGGCCCUCGGGUUGUAAAGCACUUUCAGUGAGGAAGAACGCCUGGUGGUUAAUACCCAUCAGGAAAGACAUCACUCACAGAAGAAGCACCGGCUAACUCCGUGCCAGCAGCCGCGGUAAUACGGAGGGUGCGAGCGUUAAUCGGAAUUACUGGGCGUAAAGCGCGCGUAGGUGGCUUGAUAAGCCGGUUGUGAAAGCCCCGGGCUCAACCGGGGAACGGCAUCCGGAACUGUCAAGCUAGAGUGCAGGAGAGGAAGGUAGAAUUCCCGGUGUAGCGGUGAAAUGCGUAGAGAUCGGGAGGAAUACCAGUGGCGAAGGCGGCCUUCUGGACUGACACUGACACUGAGGUGCGAAAGCGUGGGUAGCAAACAGGAUUAGAUACCCGAGUAGUC
rnacentral:rRNA from 1 species